rnacentral:rRNA from 1 species
AUUGAACGCUGGCGGCAUGCCUUACACAUGCAAGUCGAACGGUAACAGGUCUUCGGAUGCUGACGAGUGGCGAACGGGUGAGUAAUACAUCGGAACGUGCCUAGUAGUGGGGGAUAACUACUCGAAAGAGUGGCUAAUACCGCAUGAAAUCUACGGAUGAAAGCAGGGGAUCGCAAGACCUUGUGCUACUAGAGCGGCCGAUGGCAGAUUAGGUAGUUGGUGGGAUAAGAGCUUACCAAGCCGACGAUCUGUAGCUGGUCUGAGAGGACGAUGAGCCACACUGGGACUGGGAAAAGGCCCAGACUCCUACGGGAGGCAGCAGUGGGGAAUUGUGGAAAAUGGGAGCAAGCCUGAUCCAGCAAUGCCGCGUGCAGGAUGAAGGCCGUCGGGUUGUAAACUGCUUUUGUACGGAACGAAAAGCCCGGGGUUAAUACCCUGGGGUCAUGACGGUACCGUAAGAAUAAGCACCGGCUAACUACGUGCCAGCAGCCGCGGUAAUAC